rnacentral:rRNA from 1 species
UUNUUAAAGAAUAUUUAAUUUUAAGUUUAAUCUGCCCAAUGAAAAUUUAAUGGCUGCAGGAUUUAACUGUACAAAGGUAGCAUAAUAAUUUGUUUUUUAAUUAAAAACUAGAAUGAAAGAUUGAAUGAGAUAUAAACUUUUUCAAUUAAAUUAAAAUUUAAUUUUUUAUUUAAGUAAAAAAACUUAAAUAAAUAUUAAAGACGAUAAGACCCUAUAGAAUUUUAUUUAUUAUUUUUUAAUUAAAAAUUAAUAAAUUUUAUUGGGGUAAUAAAAAAAUUUAAAUAAUUUUUUUUUAAAAAAAUAUUAUAAAUAAAAAUUAUAUCUUAUCAUUUAAAUUAAAAAAAUUAAUUACCUUAGGGAUAACAGCAUAAUUUUUUUUUUAAGACCAUAUUAAAAAAAA